rnacentral:rRNA from 1 species
UGGGGAAUUUUGGACAAUGGGCGCAAGCCUGAUCCAGCAAUGCCGCGUGCAGGAUGAAGGCCUUCGGGUUGUAAACUGCUUUUGUACGGAACGAAAAAGCUCUCUCUAAUACAGGGGGUGAAUGACGGUACCGUAAGAAUAAGCACCGGCUAACUACGUGCCAGCAGCCGCGGUAAUACGUAGGGUGCAAGCGUUAAUCGGAAUUACUGGGCGUAACGCGUGCGCAGGCGGUUUUGUAAGACAGAGGUGAAAUCCCCGGGCUCAACCUGGGAACUGCCUUUGUGACUGCAAAGCUGGAGUGCGGGAGAGNGGGAUGGAAUUCCGCGUGUAGCAGUGAAAUGCGUAGAUAUGCGGAGGAACACCGAUGGCGAAGGCAAUCCCCUGGGCCUGCACUGACGCUCAUGCACGAAAGCGUGG